rnacentral:rRNA from 1 species
GACGAACGCUGGCGGCGUGCUUAACACAUGCAAGUCGAACGGAAAGGCCCUGCUUUUGUGUGGUUCUCGAUUGGCGAACGCGUGAGUAACACGUGAGUAACCUGCCCUUGUCUUUGUGAUAACUUCAGGAAACUGGGGCGAAUACCGGAUAGGAGCUCCUGAUGCAUGGUGUGGGUUGGAAAGAUACGGCGGUAGUGGAUGGACUCGCGGCUUAUCGGCUUGUUGGUGAGGUAGUCGCGUACCAGGGCUUUGACGGGUAGCCGGCCUGAGAGGGGGACCGGGCACCUGGCGACUGAGGUACGCAGCAGUCGGCUACCUGACGCAACAGUGGGGAGUCUUGCACAGCGAGCGGACGCCUGAUACGGCAGCGCCGGGUGCGGGAUGCCGGCCUUCGGGUUGUGAACAGCUUUCGACUGUGACGUGGAGUGAGUGACGGUAAUGAGUAAAGAAGCCCCGGCUAACUACGUG